rnacentral:lncRNA from 12 species
GAGUGUUGGACCAGUUUCGCAUAAAUGGUAAAGUGCAAAAGAAAAUUAAUUCAGUUUGCAAAAUGUGUUUUCAGGAUGUGUUGAAGCAAGUGAAAAAUCAACAAAUCAAAGGUCAGUCUUAGAAGGUGCAGAAAUGGGAAGUGAGUGUCUUGGAGAAGAUCUCCUAAUUAAAUCCCUGUAGAGGAAAUCAUGGUGAAUUUAAAGACCAGUCCUUGCAUCUAGGACAGCUCUGCACAUCCAUUAUCAAGAUGACUUUCUUAUUGGAAAUGACUAAAGCAGAAGGACUGGGAGUUCAAACUCCUCUGCUCACAGCGAGCAAGAGCUGCUUUUCCC